GUGGCUGUAGCUCAAUGGCAGAGCAUUCGACUGUGGCUCGAAAUGUUGCGGGUUCGAGUCCCGUCAGCCACC
rnacentral:tRNA from 1 species